UGAAUCAAGUAUCAUUCUGCUGGGAAUCGUUCUGCUUCUGCGAAACUGAGGAUUGUUAUUCAGGCUGUUGUUCCCACGUUCCAGCCYGUCUCUCCGGGAGCCGUAUCCGCCACCUUAGCAUCCCGCCGGAGUAAUCGUCGGCUGAGUGGGAAGAAGUAUUUUAAURGAUGUGACUGCAAGAAUUUGCUGAAGAAAUAUUUAAAGGUGAGGCUGGAAAAGGAGCAAGAAGCUUGACGUGGGGAGAAACGCCACGUAGGUGGAGCUGGGAGAAGACAGCAUUACAUGCUAAAGGCUUGGAGAAGCUAAGGAAGCAAGAGAAAGUAAAGAGC